GUCCUGCCGCUUUGAUAACUUUCGAAGUCCUUCCCUGAGGCUGCUCAGCUGGCUCAGGAGCAGAGAGACGCAGAACCCGGUGGAGCCAUUCUCACCCCCAGGCCUUCUCACUGAAACCUCAGAACAACACCCAGGAGACCCUCCUCUCGUCCCAGCAGGGGGACUGAGGCCUCCCCAGUCUCCAGCCUGGGAGCCACUCACUACCCACGGGGCCCACUUAUGUCUAAAUUGAUUAAAAUUAGGUGAAAAGUUUAGUCACACAAACUGAAGUACUGAGCCCUUUACCGUGGAAAGUUUCAGGGGGCGGCUGCUUGUGGUUCAGAAAGUUGGUCACAGGCAGGAGUCUAGAGCUACUCAGGAGGGCAGCCACCUUGGCCCCACCCCAGGCCCUGUUAUUGCAGAGGGGCCACCUGGGGGCUGCUGGGCUGACUGUGAGCGUUCUCACCCACCCCUCGACCAGCGAGCAGCUUCGUCCCGUAGGCCCGGGUUGUCAGGAGCACCGAGGAGUCCCCCCGCAGUGGCCCUGGCAGGUCAGCCCGAGAGAGCAGGGCCGCCACGUCUGCGGGGGCAGCCUCAUCAGCCUCCGUGGGUGCUGCCCGCCGCCCACUGCGUCUGCAGCUCUGUGAGCCUGACCGUCCAGCUGGGAGCAUCUGUCCUGCACACCAGCCCCCCAGGCUGUCUUCGUGGCUGUGCUCUGCGUCAUCUGACACCCCUCCUUCAACGGGAAUGUGCCUGCUGAAGCUGGCUCCGCUGUGCCCGUCUCCCAAACCGUCAGGCCCAUCCCUCUGGCCUCGGCAGGCUCCUCCUUCCCACCGGGCACCCUCUGCUGGCUCACCGGCUGGGGGGACAUCAGGCAGGAUGCCUCCUGCAGUGGCCCUGCCAGAGCCCCAUAGGCUUCAGGAGGUGGACGUGCACAUUGUCAGCCUGCAGAGCUGCCGCAGGCUCUCCUGCUUGGAGCCCGUCACCAAGGAGAUGCUGGGUGCUGGCCACUGCCAGGGCCAGAAGGGCUUCUGCAAGCUCAGACCCCCAUUGGCACUCCUGCCCUGGUCCUUCAUUGGGCCUGGGGAGCCACCGGACCCCUCCGGGCCUGUUUCCUGCUCAGCACAGUGAGGACAGAUCAAGGAUGAAGCUGCUGCAUGGACACCUGGAGCCCCAAAGAGCUUGCUUGUGUGCCCCCGUCCCCUGCCCCGGCACCCAGCCCCUCUCGGUCCCUGUACUCCCUGAAGUCAGCCUCGGCCAGAG
ensembl:lncRNA